GAUGAACGCUGGCGGCGUGCCUAAUACAUGCAAGUCGAGCGAACAGACGAGGAGCUUGCUCCUCUGACGUUAGCGGCGGACGGGUGAGUAACACGUGGAUAACCUACCUAUAAGACUGGGAUAACUUCGGGAAACCGGAGCUAAUACCGGAUAAUAUAUUGAACCGCAUGGUUCAAUAGUGAAAGACGGUUUUGCUGUCACUUAUAGAUGGAUCCGCGCCGCAUUAGCUAGUUGGUAAGGUAACGGCUUACCAAGGCGACGAUGCGUAGCCGACCUGAGAGGGUGAUCGGCCACACUGGAACUGAGCCACGGUCCAGACUCCUACGGGAGGCAGCAGUAGGGAAUCUUCCGCAAUGGGCGAAAGCCUGACGGAGCAGCGCCGCGUGAGUGAUGAAGGUCUUCGGAUCGUAAAACUCUGUUAUUAGUGAAGAACAAAUGUGUAAGUAACUAUGCACGUCUUGACGGUACCUAAUCAGAAAGCCACGGCUAACUACGUG
rnacentral:rRNA from 1 species